AUGAUUUGGAAGCAGUGUUAAUGGCUGUCACCUGCUAUACUUCAGACUGUCAAUAAAGACAAAUUAACCACUAAGUUCUGUUGGUUAAAAGACGGGAAGACCUUCCUAUCACAGCUUGUCAGGGCACUCAAGCUGCUAGAGGGCUUGCUGCUGAGAAAUGGAAAGCAUUUCCCUGCUCAGAGGAUCGGAGUACAGUUGCUUACAGCUCCUGAUAUGGAAAUCACCAAUUUCACAACUGCUACAACAUGGUUGGCUCACGUCUUAUGUCACAGAGAGUACUUUUAUCUAGAUUCAUACAUCUGGCAUUUUAAGUCUUAUGGAUGACAUAAUCAACAUUCAGAGACGUUUCUUUCUACAUUAAGGUAAUGUCAGGG
ensembl:lncRNA